CCUACGGGAGGCUGCAGUGGGGAAUAUUGGGCAAUGGGCGCAAGCCUGACCCAGCAACGCCGCGUGAAGGAAGAAGGCUUUCGGGUUGUAAACUUCUUUUCUGAGGGACGUAGAAAGUGACGGUACCUCAGGAAUAAGCAAGGGUAACGACGUGCCAGCAGGCGCGGUAAAACGUAGGUGGCAAGCGUUAUCCGGAUUUAUUGGGUGGAAAGGGCGUGUAGGCGGGAAAGCAAGUCAGAUGUGAAAACUCAGGGCUCAACCCUGAGCCUGCAUUUGAAACUGUUUUUCGUGAGUGCUGGAGAGGCAAUCGGAAUUCCGGGUGUAGCGGUGAAAUGCGUAGAUAUACGGAGGAACACCAGUGGCGAAGGCGGAUUGAUGGACAGUAACUGACGCUGAGGCGCGAAAGCGUGGGGAGCAAACAGGAUUAGAUACCCCAGUAGUC
rnacentral:rRNA from 1 species